GACGAACGCUGGCGGCGUGCCUAAUACAUGCAAGUAGAACGCACAGUUUAUACCGUAGCUUGCUACACCAUAGACUGUGAGUUGCGAACGGGUGAGUAACGCGUAGGUAACCUGCCUGGUAGCGGGGGAUAACUAUUGGAAACGAUAGCUAAUACCGCAUAAUAUUAAUUAUUACAUGAUAAUUAAUUGAAAGGUGCAAUUGCACCACUACCAGAUGGACCUGCGUUGUAUUAGCUAGUAGGUGAGGUAACGGCUCACCUAGGCGACGAUACAUAGCCGACCUGAGAGGGUGAUCGGCCACACUGGGACUGAGACACGGCCCAGACUCCUACGGGAGGCAGCAGUAGGGAAUCUUCGGCAAUGGACGAAAGUCUGACCGAGCAACGCCGCGUGAGUGAAGAAGGUUUUCGGAUCGUAAAGCUCUGUUGUAAGAGAAGAACGGGUGUGAGAGUGGAAAGUUCACACUGUGACGGUAUCUUACCAGAAAGGGACGGCUAACUACGUG
rnacentral:rRNA from 1 species